rnacentral:rRNA from 1 species
UCGCUCCUACCGAUUGGGUGUGCUGGUGAAGUGUUCGGAUUGGCAAUUGAAGGUGGCAACACCGUCGAUUGCCGAGAAGUUCAUUAAACCCUCCCACCUAGAGGAAGGAG